rnacentral:rRNA from 1 species
UGGGGGAUAUUGCACAAUGGGCGCAAGCCUGAUGCAGCGACGCCGCGUGGGGGAUGAAGGCCUUCGGGUUGUAAACUUCUUUUGCUCUGAACAAGGCGCACUUUGGGGUGUGUUGAGUGUAGGGGUUGAUUAGCGCCGGCUAACUACGUGCCAGCAGCCGCGGUAAUACGUAGGGCGCGAGCGUUGUCCGGAAUUAUUGGGCGUAAAGGGCUUGUAGGUGGCUGGUUGCGUCUGUCGUGAAAGCUCAUGGCUUAACUGUGGGUUUGCGGUGGGUACGGGCUGGCUUGAGUGCAGUAGGGGAGGCUGGAAUUCCUGGUGUAGCGGUAGAAUGCGCAGAUAUCAGGAGGAAUACCGGUGGCGAAGGCGGGUCUCUGGGCUGUUACUGACACUGAGGAGCGAAAGCAUGGGGAGCGAACAGG